AACGCGAAGAACCUUACCUGGGCUCGAAAUGUAGAGGACGACAUCAGAGAUGAUGUUUCUCGAAAGGGUCUUUACAUAGGUGCUGCAUGGCUGUCGUCAGCUCGUGCCGUGAGGUGUUUGGUUAAGUCCAGCAACGAGCGCAACCCUUAUCGUUAGUUGCCAACGCGUAAUGGCGGGAACUCUAACGAGACUGCCUGGGUUAACCAGGAGGAAGGUGAGGAUGACGUCAAGUCCGCAUGGCCUUUAUGUCCAGGGCUACACACGUGCUACAAUGGUCGGUACAGAAGGCAGCGAAACCGUAAGGCGGAGCAAAUCCUGUAAAACCGAUCUCAGUUCAGAUUGUAGACUGCAACUCGUCUACAUGAAGUUGGAAUUGCUAGUAAUGGCGUGUCAGCAACAACGCCGUGAAUACGUUCCCGGGCCUUGUACACACCGCGUGUCU
rnacentral:rRNA from 1 species